AUACUGGGGGUGCAAGCGUUAAUCGGAAUUACAGGGCGUAAAGCGCACGUAGGCGGUUUAUUAAGUCAGAUGUGAAAGCCCUGGGCUUAACCUGGGAACUGCAUUUGAGACUGGUAGGCUAGAGUAUGGUAGAGGAUAGUGGAAUUCCGGGUGUAGCGGUGAAAUGCGUAGAUAUCCGGAGGAACAUCAGUGGCGAAGGCGGCUAUCUGGACCAAUACUGACGCUGAGGUGCGAAAGCGUGGGGAGCAAACAGGAUUAGAAACCCUUGUAGUCC
rnacentral:rRNA from 1 species